UUAUGCAAAAAGGCAUUAAAUCCUAUCACAUGUGCACAUGUCCUGCUACAACACAACCAUCAUUAUGCUUUAAGUUAAGUUAAACCAAUCUGCAUAAUGCUUCAAGUUAAUUUAAACAAAUCUGCAUAGAUUUUGCUACCUGAUUGGUUCAGUUAUGGGCAUGGGUUCAACUCAAGCCAAUUACAGUUAAUAUAUACGAUCAUUGAGCCAAAUAAAUAAGUAACAGACAUGUUAAUUUAUAGAGGAGGGGAAGUGAUUAAUAAAAAGUUGUAAUAUCCUCUCAUAGUCACCUCCACCCUCGUGAUCGAAAGCCCGUUCUCUUUAAAUAUCCGAGACACGUCUGAUAACAACACGACACUGUCUUCCCCACAUAGCUCCAACUUUACACCCUCGGGAACUUGCCUCUUGACCACUGCCUCAUGGCAAUGGAUUACACGUUCCCUCUCGGUUUCUGAGCUGAUUGGACAUCCAUUUGUAUGACAGAUGUAUAAUUCCUUAAAACGACACAAAUAUAACAUUAUAUCACUUAGUAAAAUCCCACCAACAACAAAACUGUAAGACAAUUAAAUUAAUACCUGAGAAGCUUCAACUCCUUCAACAAUAAUAGUGGCAUGAUAUACCACAUAUUGCAUAUCAGUAAGUGUACAAACUAUAUCAAACAACAACUUAGGCCAAUCAGGACACUGCAAAUGCACAACGAUAUACCCUUUCUCACUGUAAUUCUCAACCAUCACUAACGAUUUUAGGUUUUAACUUAUAAAGAUUUAGUUGUAUUAAAAUGACCACGUAAUUAAAUCGUCCGUAUACUUUAAUUUGGUUCUCAUAUGUAACACGGGAUUGCCACUAAAAAUAAAUAACUAAAUAUUGGGCAUUACCUUGCUCAAGAACUCCAACAAUUCCAUAACCUCUAGAUCUUCCCUCGCUAUGACGACGUUAGACGAAAGUUGUGGUUCAUUACUCACAGAGAAGAAGCGUAACCUAUUUGCAAUUUCAUUGUCUGUGUCAUACAUAUGCACAUUUGAAGAAAUAAGGGCUUCUCAUUAGAUGGUGGACAUAGGGAGCACAACCAGUGUGAGACCUCGCCCAAUUCCUU
rnacentral:lncRNA from 1 species